rnacentral:rRNA from 1 species
UGCCAGCCGCCGCGGUAAUACAUAGGGUGCAAGCGUUAAUCGGAAUUACUGGGCGUAAAGCGUUCGCAGGCGGUUUUAUAAGUCAGAUGUGAAAUCCCCGAGCUCAACUUGGGAACUGCGUUUGAAACUGUAAAACUAGAGUGUGUCAGAGGGGGGUAGAAUUCCAUGUGUAGCAGUGAAAUGCGUAGAUAUGUGGAGGAAUACCAAUGGCGAAGGCAGCCCCCUGGGAUAACACUGACGCUCAUGAACGAAAGCGUGGGGAGCAAACAGGAUUAGAUA